GAUUUCUGGUUUGAUGUACCUGUCCCGCCUCGGUAACGGGGUCGAGUGACGGAGUAUGUCUGCCAUCCUUCUAGAGAAUAUAAACUAUCCUUUACUGGACUGGUUUAUAUCAUCUAGAUCUUUUACUUUGAAAAAAUUAGAGUGUUUCAAGCAGGCAUGUUUUGCUAUGAAUACAUUAGCAUGGAAUAAUAAUCUAGGACUUUCGGUUCUAUUUUGUUGGUGUUCUGGAGCUGAAGUAAUGAUUGAUAGGGAUAGUUGGGGGUGCUAGUAUUCAAUGGCCAGAGGUGAAAUUCUCGGAUUCCUUGAAGACUAACUUAUGCGAAAGCAUU
rnacentral:rRNA from 1 species